UCUGCUUGACUGUCCCCUGAAUGAUGGCACUGGCCUCCAUUUUCCUGGCCAUAUCUACUAUGGCAUGGAAGCUCUCCCUGUCCACGGACUGAAUCAAAGAGGAAUACCUGGAAUGAAGUUUCAUGACAUACCUCCUUGACUUCUUCGAAUCUGUAUCCAGACUCUGCCCAGCAAAAGGCAACAGCUCUAAGAAUCUGUCGGUGUACUCCUCUACACUCAU
rnacentral:lncRNA from 1 species